rnacentral:lncRNA from 1 species
CUCCUUAAGAGAGGCACGGCGGAGAAGUUCCCAUUGAUUAAAGCUGCGAGGGGUGGGGGGAAGGGCAGGCUGGAGCGGCUCUUCCCAAGCAAAGCUGCCUUUCUUCCCCUCCCCCCUCUUCCUCUCCCUCCCUCCCUCCUUUCUUCCGCCCCGGGCGCUCCUCUCUCCCCAGCUCCGCCGCCGCUGCUUCUCUCCUUUCGUUCUCCCUGGGGGUGAGACCUGAAGCAGAGCCGGGCAGCGAAGCCUCUCGGGCAGCCUCGGCUGCAGCAGAGCGUUAUUUAUCGCGGCCGGCUUGCAUGCACCGCUGCCGUCUCCAUGCAAAGCCUUCUCUGCAAAAGCAGGCACAGCCGGAGCUGUGUGUGUGUGCAAACGCGAGGAGGGGUGGCUGCAGCAGUAGGAGGAGAGCCGGAGGGGAGGGAAGGGAGAGAUGGGGGCAGGAUCGGAUUCUGCAAAGAAGAAAGAAGCGGCUGCUGCAAGGCACAGCCCGGCGACGGAGCAGGCAGCUCUGGCAGGAAGGCGCCGCUUGCAAUAACUUUUUAUUUUUUGCUGGAAGCAGCAGCAGAUCGCCGGUCGAGCAAGAAGCGGGGGCGAUCGCCUUCGAUCCCGGAGGGGACUGCUCUCUCCCGGAUGCACCAGGAUCGUGUCCUCUCCAGCUGGGAAGAUGCAAAUCCGCUGGCCUGGGGGGCGAAACAAAAGCGUCUGGUCUGCAGUCGUGGAGGGGGGGGGUGCGCGAGUUGUGCUUUGCAAAGCUUGGGAGAAAAAGGAGCCGAGUGGAUGAAUCAAGACAGCAGGCAGGCGAAGCGGCUGAUCUCUGCGGCGCUCCGGUCUCCAGCGACGAACUGCAUGCAGAGCCAUGGCGAGCCGGAGACCCGGAUGUACGUGCGAAAGCCCAGGGACUGCGAAGACACGUGGUGACGGGGAAACGGGAGAGGGAUCGCCUGUAAUGAGAUGCUGCUUCCUCCUCCCAGCUGAGCUUGUAAAAUAUUUUGGCCGGAGGCGAGAUCCCAACGAGGAAGCAAGUCUCCCCCGCUUCAGGGUUGCAGAGAAAAUCCGCGUUGAAUUUUAAUGUUUUAUUGGGGGAAGGGGUGUAUGUGUUUAGAGAAAAGGGCGGGGGGGGGGGAGAAAACACUGUGGGGAGGUUGCUCCCUACCCCCAAUCUCUCUCUCUGUGUUAAUAACUCAUUGGGGGAAAAGGGACUGGCUCUCUGGAUUUGCAGGUAUGUGGUUUUAUUUAUUUCCCGCCUCCCAUAUUAUUUCCCCACCUCCCGUGAUUGUGAACAAUUCGCCCCAUUCCCUUCACCCCAAUAUCUUAUUUAAAACAGAAUAACAUCCAAUAAAGAGACCAAAAAAAAAUAUGCUCGAUCUGAUUGUUUCGAAUACUUGGGAAAUGGAACGCGCAAAAUAUCGUACUGGAGCGAAAAUAAAACAUUUUUUUAAAAAAAGCAAUUAAUUAAUUAAAUCCAUGUUAGGAUUGUAUUCAAAUGCAAAACGGGCCCAAAAUGGAAAUGCAGGAUUAUAACAGUCACAUAUCGCCUAAAAUGUAAUAAAUUCUUAGUGUAUUAAAAUUAGGGUGGUUUUACAUAUACGGUAUUGUAAAUUUAUUUUUAAAACUGGGCCUUGGGAAAACUAAGCGUUUGAUUUCUGAACGUUAGAAACACUGAUGAUAAUUCACUUUCGUAAAGGGGUGGGGGGAUUUCCUAAUGCUAACUGGCACGUGACAUAAUUUCCCACAGUAAUACCAGUAACAUUAUUUCCAAUAAUACUGUAUUAAUAACUUAUAAAUAAACGGUAAUAUUUGGA